rnacentral:rRNA from 1 species
GCCUGCGGAGGGAUCAUUACCGAGUUUACAACUCCCAAACCCCUGUGAACAUACCUUAAUGUUGCCUCGGCGGAUCAGCCCGCGCCCCGUAAAACGGGACGGCCCGCCAGAGGACCCAAACUCUAAUGUUUCUUAUUGUAACUUCUGAGUAAAACAAACAAAUAAAUCAAAACUUUCAACAACGGAUCUCUUGGUUCUGGCAUCGAUGAAGAACGCAGCAAAAUGCGAUAAGUAAUGUGAAUUGCAGAAUUCAGUGAAUCAUCGAAUCUUUGAACGCACAUUGCGCCCGCUGGUAUUCCGGCGGGCAUGCCUGUUCGAGCGUCAUUUCAACCCUCAAGCCCCCGGGUUUGGUGUUGGGGAUCGGCUCUGCCUUCUGGCGGCGCCGCCCCCGAAAUACAUUGGCGGUCUCGCUGCAGCCUCCAUUGCGUAGUAGCUAACACCUCGCAACUGGAACGCGGCGCGGCCAUGCCGUAAAACCCCAACUUCUGAAUGUUGACCUCGGAUCAGGUAGGAAUACCCGCUGAACUUAAGCAUAUCAAUAGCCGGAGGA